GGUGGCUCAGUGGUAGAGUGUUUGCCUUGCAUGCAUGAGACCCUGGGUUCCAUUCCUCAGCACCA
rnacentral:tRNA from 1 species